CUACGGGUGGCUCCAGUGGGGAAUAUUGCACAAUGGGCGCAAGCCUGAUGCAGCCAUGCCGCGUGUAUGAAGAAGGCCUUCGGGUUGUAAAGUACUUUCAGCGGGGAGGAAGGGAGUAAAGUUAAUACCUUUGCUCAUUGACGUUACCCGCAGAAGAAGCACCGGCUAACUCCGUGCCAGCAGCCGCGGUAAUACGGAGGGUGCAAGCGUUAAUCGGAAUUACUGGGCGUAAAGCGCACGCAGGCGGUUUGUUAAGUCAGAUGUGAAAUCCCCGGGCGCAACCUGGGAACUGCAUCUGAUACUGGCAAGCUUGAGUCUCGUAGAGGGGGGUAGAAUUCCAGGUGUAGCGGUGAAAUGCGUGGAGAUCUGGAGGAAUACCGGUGGCGAAGGCGGCCCCCUGGACGAAGACUGACGCUCAGGUGCGAAAGCGUGGGGAGCAAACAGGAUUAGAUACCCUCGUAGUC
rnacentral:rRNA from 1 species